GAUGAACGCUGGCGGCGUGCCUAAUACAUGCCAGUCGAGCGAACAGAUGAGGAGCUUGCUCCUCUGACGUUAGCGGCGGACGGGUGAGUAACACGUGGAUAACCUACCUAUAAGACUGGGAUAACUUCGGGAAACCGGAGCUAAUACCGGAUAAUAUAUUGAACCGCAUGGUUCAAUAGUGAAAGACGGUUUUGCUGUCACUUAUAGAUGGAUCCGCGCCGCAUUAGCUAGUUGGUAAGGUAACGGCUUACCAAGGCAACGAUGCGUAGCCGACCUGAGAGGGUGAUCGGCCACACUGGAACUGAGACACGGUCCAGACUCCUACGGGAGGCAGCAGUAGGGAAUCUUCCGCAAUGGGCGAAAGCUUGACGGAGCAACGCCGCGUGAGUGAUGAAGGUCUUCGGAUCGUAAAACUCUGUUAUUAGGGAAGAACAAAUGUGUAAGUAACUAUGCGCGUCUUGACGGUACCUAAUCAGAAAGCCACGGCUAACUACGUG
rnacentral:rRNA from 1 species